rnacentral:rRNA from 1 species
UGCUUAACACAUGCAAGUCGAACGGCAGCGCGUGUAUGGGUAACUAUACAUGGCGGCGAGUGGCAAACGGGUGAGUAAUGCGUAGGAAUCUGCCGAAAGGGGGGGGAUAACUUGGGGAAACUCAAGCUAAUACCGCGUAAUAUUGAGAAAUCAAAGCUGGGGACCGCAAGGCCUGGCGCCUUUUGAUGAGCCUACGUUAGAUUAGUUAGUUGGUAGGGUAAAAGCCUACCAAGGCAAAGAUCUAUAGCUGGUCUGAGAGGACGAUCAGCCACACUGGGACUGAGACACGGCCCAGACUCCUACGGGAGGCAGCAGUGGGGAAUAUUGGACAAUGGGCUAACGCCUGAUCCAGCAAUGCCGCGUGUGUGAAGAAGGCCUGCGGGUUGUAAAGCUC